GAUGAAGAACGUAGCAAAAUGCGAUAAGUAAUGUGAAUUGCAGAAUUCAGUGAAUCAUCGAAUCUUUGAACGCGCAUUGCGCCCGCCAGUAUUCUGGCGGGCAUGCCUGUUCGAGCGUCAUUUCAACCCUCAAGCACAGCUUGGUGUUGGGACUCGCGUUAAUUCGCGUUCCCCAAAUUGAUUGGCGGUCACGUCGGGCUUCCAUAGCGUAGUAGUAAAACCCUCGUUACUGGUAAUCGUCGCGGCCACGCCGUUAAACCCCAACUUCUGAAUGUUGACCUCGGAUCAGGUAGGGAUACCCGCUGAACUUAAGCAUAUCAAUAAGCGGAGGA
rnacentral:misc_RNA from 1 species